rnacentral:rRNA from 1 species
AGUGAACGCUGGCGGUAGGCCUAACACAUGCAAGUCGAACGGCAGCACAGUAAGAGCUUGCUCUUACGGGUGGCGAGUGGCGGACGGGUGAGGAAUACAUCGGAAUCUACUUUUUCGUGGGGGAUAACGUAGGGAAACUUACGCUAAUACCGCAUACGACCUACGGGUGAAAGCAGGGGAUCUUCGGACCUUGCGCGAUUGAAUGAGCCGAUGUCGGAUUAGCUAGUUGGCGGGGUAAAGUCCAACCAAGGCGACGAUCCGUAGAUGGUCUGAGAGGAUGAUCAGCCACACUGGAACUGAGACACGGUCCAGACUCCUACGGGAGGCAGCAGUGGGGAAUAUUGGACAAUGGGCGCAAGCCUGAUCCAGCCAUACCGCGUGGGUGAAGAAGGCCUUCGGGUUGUAAAGCCCUUUUGUUGGGAAAGAAAAGCAGCAGGUUAAUACCCCGCUGUUCUGACGGUACCCAAAGAAUAAGCACCGGCUAACUUCGUG